UGAACGCUGGCGGUAGGCCUAACACAUGCAAGUCGAACGGCAGCACAGUAAGAGCUUGCUCUUACGGGUGGCGAGUGGCGGACGGGUGAGGAAUACAUCGGAAUCUACUUUUUCGUGGGGGAUAACGUAGGGAAACUUACGCUAAUACCGCAUACGACCUACGGGUGAAAGCAGGGGAUCUUCGGACCUUGCGCGAUUGAAUGAGCCGAUGUCGGAUUAGCUAGUUGGCGGGGUAAAGGCCCACCAAGGCGACGAUCCGUAGCCGGUCUGAGAGGAUGAUCAGCCACACUGGAACUGAGACACGGUCCAGACUCCUACGGGAGGCAGCAGUGGGGAAUAUUGGACAAUGGGCGCAAGCCUGAUCCAGCCAUACCGCGUGGGUGAAGAAGGCCUUCGGGUUGUAAAGCCCUUUUGUUGGGAAAGAAAAGCAGCAGGUUAAUACCCCGCUGUUCUGACGGUACCCAAAGAAUAAGCACCGGCUAACUUCGUG
rnacentral:rRNA from 1 species